rnacentral:sRNA from 1 species
AAGCCAGGAUAAUGUAGUCUUAAUCGUUCUGAAAUACGAAAAAUGUUGUGGAAAUCGCGUGAAAUAAUCAGAGGAAUCGUUUGAAAUCAUCGUAGUAAUCGCGCGAAAAUCACGUGAAAUAAUCAGAGGAAUCGUUUGAAAUCAUCGUAGUAAUCGCGCGAAAAUCACGUGAAAUAAUCAGAGGAAUCGUUUGAAAUCAUCGUAGUAAUCGCGCGAAAAUCGCGUGAAAUAAUCAGAGGAAUCGUUUGAAAUCAUCGUAGUAAUCGCGCGAAAAUCGC